GUUUAUUUCCAUUUUUCCUUUCUCUUUAUUUUCUUCAAGAGGUAGAUAAAUGUUAUGUUAAAACUCUAGGAUUUUAUUUUGGCUCGAAAUUUUCAAAUUUGUUGAGAUGAAUACUACUUGGAGCUCAAGUUAUUGAUUCUUGAAUUUCUAUCUACAUUAAGGUGGUGACGAGGAAAUUGGAAACGUUUAUCAGGAGACCGUUGAUUUUGAGAUACUUGGAAAAACCUGCUGAAGCGAAAGAGACCUUUCAUAGUAUGUAAUGAAUAGUUGGGGGACUCAUGUUUAUUAAGUACUUUGUCUAAUAUUUGGGGUGUCAUGCACUUUGUAGAAGAGUUUGUAAUUGAUGUAAUGCUUGCAUGUAGACUUGAUGUUGUUGUAGAUGCACUCAGUCGAAUUUUGUUAUAUUUUGUUUUAGUUGUGGUGGUAUUAGUGGAAGUGGUGGUUUCCAAAACUUUUGGUUUGAAUGUCUAUUUGAGGUUUUGAUGAUUUUUCA